GUGUCAGCCGCCGCGGUAAUACGUAGGGUGCGAGCGUUAAUCGGAAUUACUGGGCGUAAAGCGUGCGCAGGCGGUUUCGUAAGACAGAGGUGAAAUCCCCGGGCUCAACCUGGGAACUGCCUUUGUGACUGCGAGGCUAGAGUACGGCAGAGGGGGGUGGAAUUCCACGUGUAGCAGUGAAAUGCGUAGAGAUGUGGAGGAACACCGAUGGCGAAGGCAGCCCCCUGGGCCGAUACUGACGCUCAUGCACGAAAGCGUGGGUAGCAAACAGGAUUAGAUACCCUGGUAGUCCACGCCCUAAACGAUGUCAACUAGGUGUUGGGUGGGUAAAACCAUUUAGUACCGUAGCUAACGCGUGAAGUUGACCGCCUGGGGAGUACGGCCGCAAGGUUAAAACUUAAAUGAAUUGGCGGGG
rnacentral:rRNA from 1 species